UUCAGCAUGUGUUCUUUCAUUUUGUGAAAAUGAUAGUCGCUCUGUGUGGAAUAUACUUAAGUAUUUGAAGUGUAUUAUGUGCAGAUGUUCCUAAACAGUGAAAAGAAGAUGGUUUUUGCAUAAUUUUCUUUCAGAUAACAAAUGUUAUAGACAUUGUCACAUCUGUAGUCAAAUGUUUGAUAUGAUUUAUGUGAAAAUAUCCCUAAACAGCUACCUGUUGGCUUGAUUAAGCACAAUGCUCUUUCAUUAAAGUGAUAGCUGUUCCAUGUGGCAUAUACUGAAAUGUUUGAAAUGUCAUAUGUGAAGAUGUUCCUUAAGAGCUACUUGCUGGGUGUUUUCAAGACAAUGUUCUUUCAGUGAAUGAAUGUUAUAGAUA
rnacentral:lncRNA from 1 species